GACGAACGCUGGCGGCGUGCUUAACACAUGCAAGUCGAACGGAAAGGCCCUGCUUUUGUGGGGUGCUCGAGUGGCGAACGGGUGAGUAACACAUGAGUAACCUGCCCUUGACUUUGUGAUAUCUUCACGGAACUGGGGCUAUUACCGCAUAGGAGCUCCUGCUGCAUGUUGGGGGUUGGAAAGUUUCGGCGGUUGUGGAUCGUCUCGCGGCUUAUGAGCUUGUUUGUGGGGUAGUGGCUUACCAAGGGUUUGACGGGUAGCCGGCCUGGGAGGGUGAACGGCGACCUUGGUACUACGGUAGGGCCCAGUAGGGUAUGUGCGGCAGCAGUGGGGAAUAUUGCGCAACGGGGGGAAGUGUGAUGUGGCAGUGUCGGGUGCGGGAUGACGGCUUUCGGGGUAUAAACAGCUUUGGAAUGUGAUGAAGAGUGAGUGACGGUAAUGGGUAAAGAAGCACCGGCUAACUACGUG
rnacentral:rRNA from 1 species